rnacentral:tRNA from 1 species
UAGCUCAGAUGGUAAAGCGUCUGCCUACAAUGCAGGAGACCUGGGUUCAAUCCCUG